AAACAAGGGACCUAGUAAAACUGAGCAGUGUUACUGUAUUUUUAAAAAAUAUUUUUAUAGAUUCAUUUUCAGGUUAUUAAACAUUAAAGAAACAAUUAUCCCUCCUUUUUUUAAGUAGUUAAAACAUUGAUGAUUUGUAUUAUCAAUUUUUAGAAAUACUUUCCUAGUAAGCUUGUGGCAUUAGAAAAUACUAGAAGAAUUUUUUUUUAGUGAAAUUAGUUGGAACACUUAUUAAUGAACAUAACAAUUAUUUUUCCAGAAUUAGAUACAGAUCUUGACUACAUGUUUACUAAUAAAUGAAGCCAGAUCUAAUUUUUGUUGUUAUUUUUAAGGCCAUGUUAUAUGGCCUUUGUUAAAGAACACUAAAGCUAGAAAUCUAAAAACAACUUUUUAAAGGUUCUUUCCUAUUAUUGUAAGUGUUAAAACCCCUGCAGAAUUCAUGAUAAGGUGCUAUUUAUACUAUAUUUCUUAUUAUAAAAUGACUGCCAAAUAUCAUGUCUUUUUAGUCCUAAGUCAAUCAGUAGAUUUCAACAUUUCAUCCAGAUUAAAAAUGGAAAAAUAAUUGCAGAAAUCUUUCUUUUAAGGUAUUUUCUUUCCCUGAUAAAACACAUUUCCUUGAAGUAAAUACAUUGUCAAGACCUAUUUGCAAUUCUGUUAAAUCUAAGUAAUUGUUAGUGUUUCACCAUAGAAUUUAGGAUGUGAUAUGCCUUUCUUUCGCUGAUUAUACAAUAUAAGUAAAAACAGACUGAAACAGUUAGUAUGCUGGGGGUGCUACUGACUCCAGCUUGGCAGAAAAUCUUUCUGGAGAAGAAGGUGAUCUGGAGUGAGAGAGAAUAUGAUAUAUGUGUGUUUAUUUUUAAUUCAAAUUGCUAUGCAUACAGAGAGUAUGCAGAAAAAUCAAUCAGAUCAAACUGUUUUACCUGGAGUUUGGUACUGGUUUUUACUUCUCUGAUUCUGUAUAAGAAAAAUAAAUACAAUUGAAUUUCC
rnacentral:lncRNA from 1 species